rfam:TPA: Bos taurus chromosome 6, whole genome shotgun sequence.
UCCCUGGUGGCUCAGAUGGUAAAGCAUCUGCCUGCAAUGUGGGAGACCUGGGUUCAAUCCCUGGGUUGGGAA